AGCAGCCGCCGCGGUAAUACGAAGGGUGCAAGCGUUAAUCGGAAUUACUGGGCGUAAAGCGUGCGUAGGCGGUUUGUUAAGUCUGCUGUGAAAUCCCCGGGCUCAACCUGGGAAUGGCAGUGGAUACUGGCAAGCUAGAGUGUGUCAGAGGAUGGUGGAAUUCCCGGUGUAGCGGUGAAAUGCGUAGAGAUCGGGAGGAACAUCAGUGGCGGAGGCGGCCAUCUGGGACAACACUGACGCUGAGGCACGAAAGCGUGGGGAGCAAACAGGAUUAGAUACCCCCGUAGUCCCUGUCUCUUAUAC
rnacentral:rRNA from 1 species